UCCAUAAUUUACGAGACCGUAUCGCGUUAUAAAUACGACAUGUUGAUCCGAGAAGCUCACACAACUCGAUCACCCUUCUAAGUCACUCUCGACACCAUCACGCAACCAUCACCUCUUUCACGUAACCCGCGAAUCGCCGGAGCCUGCCGGAAAGAUCAAAGUCCUCGCCGGAGUUCGAAGGGACCAUCGGAGUUCAGUCGGGGAACCAAGCUCGCCGGAGUUUUAUGACGGAAUCAACACGUCAACUCUUCGGUUAAUCACUUUUGUUCGUAUCUCUUGGAUUUUCCAUCUUUACUAGUUCGUUAUUACAAGAAAUCGCAACGCAACCAAUGUUGAUUUAUCAAGAUACAAGAAAGCAAGCUAGGAUGGCCUAGAAACUCAUUUUAGAAAUAAACUAUUGUUUGAAUUUAUUUUUGGAUGUUGAUACUUUGUGUUAUCCUUUAGAAUCUAAUAAAAUGAUUUAAAUUAUAUUGUCACAUUUAGUGUUAUGUUGUUUUGAGCAAUUUGUUCGUCUCAUCCCGAUGUUUCCGCCAUUGGUUGGGGUGUGACAAUCAAUGCAUGGAGACUAGAAAUGGAUAGGCUCCCGACAACGGUGGCGCUGAAUCGGAGGAACAUGCAGGUCGAAGAUAAUUACUGCAGGUUCUGCAAUUCUUUCGAAGAAUCGGCUGACCAUAUCUUUAUUGCUUGCCGCACAGCAUCGAUUAUAUGGAAUUUUUUGAGUUCGUGGCGCAAGAUUCCGAGUAUUUAUGCGUUUUCGCGUAAAGAUCUGUUCCUCACUCACAGAAACUUAAGGGCCACGGAGAAGAAAAAGGAUGUUGUUCACGGUUUAAUCAUCAUUGCUUGUUGGUGUCUUUGGCGGGCUAGGAACAACGCGGUUUUUUCUAACAGCCCGGUGAAGAUUGAAGGUAUCAUUGGAGAGAUUAAGGCGCUUGGAUACUUUUGGUAUGUUAAUAGGUCGAAAUACAAAGAGAUGUCUUGGGGGGUUGGUGUGAGUUUGUAAAUAUGUAGUUUUGUAA